rnacentral:rRNA from 1 species
GAUGAACGCUGGCGGCGUGCUUAACACAUGCAAGUCGAACGGGAAACCUUUUAUUGAAGCUUCGGCAGAUUUAGCUGGUUUCUAGUGGCGGACGGGUGAGUAACGCGUGGGUAACCUGCCCUAUACAGGGGGAUAACAACCAGAAAUGGUUGCUAAUACCGCAUAAGCGCACAGGACCGCAUGGUCCGGUGUGAAAAACUCCGGUGGUAUAGGAUGGACCCGCGUUGGAUUAGCCAGUUGGCGGGGUAACGGCCUACCAAAGCGACGAUCCAUAGCCGGCCUGAGAGGGUGAACGGCCACAUUGGGACUGAGACACGGCCCAGACUCCUACGGGAGGCAGCAGUGGGGAAUAUUGCACAAUGGGGGAAACCCUGAUGCAGCGACGCCGCGUGAAGGAAGAAGUAUCUCGGUAUGUAAACUUCUAUCAGCAGGGAAGAUAGUGACGGUACCUGACUAAGAAGCCC